ACCACUCAGUUUCCAGCCUAGAUCUUAACUGUAGAUCCCCACAUAACCAGUAAAUAUCCCCCAAUGACCUGGUAUGGUGUUGCAACAGGCGUAUAUGAACAGUUCUGUAAGUGGCGCAAUAACCUUUAGAAAAAUUACCCAUGAAUUUACCAAUCCCGUCAUACAUGGCAUAACAAGUGUAAUUACCUCUAUAGACUGGGAUUCCAUCUGGUGGCUUAACAUUUUCAACUAAGAGAGGGUAUUCUGCCGUCC
rnacentral:lncRNA from 1 species